rnacentral:misc_RNA from 1 species
AGAGAGAGUAACCAAAUCCUCCAUACACAAAACUGUGAGAGAGAGAAAGAGACGGAAGCGCUUCAGAGUUCAGAGUUUAUCUCCACUCACUCAGUACUUUUGAAUCCAAAAACCAGGCAAAUGGGGGAGGAGGAAAAGAAGCCCGCGGCAGAAGAGAAGGAUAUGGAGGAGAAAAAGCCAGAGGAACCAAAGAAACCAGAAGGAGACAAGGCUGAAAAGAAAGAAGAAGAUAAGCCAGCAGAUAAACCACCAGCAGAAGAAAAGAAAGAAGAGAAAAAAGCAGAGGUUUCAAAGGAAUCACCUCCACCUCCACAAGAAAUUGUCCUAAAGGUUUACAUGCAUUGCGAGGGUUGUGCCCGCAAGGUCCGCAGAUGCCUAAAGGGCUUUGAAGGAGUUGAAGAUGUAAUCGCUGAUUGCAAGACUAGUAAGGUGGUUGUAAAGGGAGAGAAGGCGGAUCCAUUGAAGGUUCUAGAGAGAGUUCAGAAGAAGAGCCAUAGACAGGUGCAGCUUAUCUCUCCGAUCCCAAAACCGCCGUCUGAGGAAGAGAAAAAGGCGGCUGAAGAAAAGGAGAAGCCAAAGCCUGAAGAGAAGAAAGAAGAGCCGCCGGUGAUCGUAGUGGUCCUAAAGGUUUACAUGCAUUGUGAAGCCUGUGCAAUGGAAAUCAAGAAACGGAUACAAAGAAUGAAAGGUGUGGAAUCAGCUGAGCCAGAUCUAAAGAGCUCACAGGUAACAGUGAAGGGAGUGUUUGAUCCUCCAAAACUCGUCGAAUACGUGUACAAGAGAACAGGCAAGCACGCGGUUAUAGUGAAACAGGAAGCAGAGAAAAAAGCAGAAGAAGAGAAAGGCAAAGAAUCCAAAGAAGAGAAAAAAGACGAACAAGGUAGUGGGGGUGGUGGUGACAAAGAAAAUAAGGGUGGUGAACAGGAAGAAAACAAAGAAAAGAAAGAAAGUGAAGGCGAGGCCAAACCAGAGGCGGCACCCACAGAAGAGACCAAAGUGGUGGAACUGAAAAAGAAUGAAUAUUACUAUUACCCACAAAGGUACGCCAUGGAAAUGUAUGCCUACCCUCCUCAGAUCUUCAGCGACGAGAACCCCAAUGCAUGUUCUGUAAUGUAAAAAGUUUAUGGAUUCGGGGGCAAUAUGGGAUUUUAGGAAAAUGGGUGAUAAUCAUAUGAACUGUAGAAUUUUGUGAUGUAUUUUUUUUUUCCCGAUCA